CACAGACAACAUGGCGGGGCACUGGUCGAGGGCUGUGAGGAGGAGGAGGAGGGAGGCUGUGGUGAGGUGGAGACUUGACAACACUACCAUCGCCAUCAGGCCAGGCUAAGCCAGCUGUUCUACGAUGGCCAUCAGAACUUCGCACAGGAGCUGGCCGUCAUUGUGGACCAAGAAGCCACGGCCGUCUCCCCUUCAGACCGGCUCAUGAACAUAAUCACCAUUGGACUGCAGCACGAACAUGUACGAAACGGAACCCCAGACCAGCGCCCCCGAGCCAGCCAUGUAUGAGACCGCCUAUGUCACCUCCCACAAGGACAAGUGUCGUGCCGCAGCCUUCUCCAUGGACGGGAGUUUAGUGGCCACGGGGAGUGUGGACGCCUCUUUAAAGGUAGUGUGCUGAGUUUGAGUAGUCAUUUCAAACACACCACUUCAUAUAGUGGGCCAUAUUACUAAACAUUUCGUCGCCAAAGUUCACAUAUUUGACAAGGCUUUCAUAGGAGUUUUGGGCAUUUCCAGAAGUAGUUUUAUGACCCUGGUGGUUGUUUGACCCUUCUUUUGAACCUAAAGAAACACUCAUUAGAUCUCGAUUGAUCCCCUCUUUGACCUUUAGAAAUAGUUGGUGUGAAAAGUGAAAGUGUCAUAAUACCGACCAGUAUAUAU